rnacentral:rRNA from 1 species
CCUACGGGUGGCAGCAGUCGAGAAUCAUUCACAAUGGGGGAAACCCUGAUGGUGCGACGCCGCGUGGGGGAAUGAAAGUCUUCGGAUUGUAAACCCCUGUCAUGUGGGAGCAAAUUAAAAAGAUAGUACCACAAGAGGAAGAGACGGCUAACUCUGUGCCAGCAGCCGCGGUAAUACAGAGGUCUCAAGCGUUGUUCGGAAUCACUGGGCGUAAGCGGGCGUAGGCCGGUUUGUAAGUCGUGUGUGAAAGGCGCGGGCCCAACCCGGGGACGGAACAGGUUACUGCGGGACUAGCGUAAUGGAGGGGGAACCGGAAGUGUCGGUGUAGCAGGGAAAUGCGUAGAUAUCGAGAGGAACACUCGUGGUGAAGGCGGGUUCCUGGACAUUAACUGACGCUGAGGCACGAAGGCCAGGGGAGCGAAAGGGAUUAGAUACCCGGGUAGUC